CUUACACAUGCAAGUCGCCCGGAGAUUGUAUAUAUGUAAUCUUAGCGGCGGACGGGUGAGUAACGCGUANGCAACCUGCCUUGCACAGAGGGAUAACACCGGGAAAGUGGUGCUAAUACCACAUGAUAUCAUAACAAGGCAUCUUGAAAUGAUCAAAGGAUAAAUCCGGUGCAAGAUGGGCCUGCGUCCGAUUAGUUAGUUGGUGAGGUAACGGCUCACCAAGGCGACGAUCGGUAGCCGAACUGAGAGGUUGAUCGGCCACCUUGGGACUGAGACACGGCCCAGACUCCUACGGGAGGCAGCAGUGGGGAAUAUUGCGCAAUGGGGGGAACCCUGACGCAGCAACGCCGCGUGAAGGAAGAAGGCCUUCGGGUUGUAAACUUUUUUGAUUGGGGAAGAAAAAAUGACGGUACCCAAGGAACAAGCCACGGCUAACUACGUGCCAGCAGCCGCGGUAAUACGUAGGUGGCGAGCGUUGUCCGGAAUUACUGGGUGUAAAGGGCGUGUAGGCGGGAUUGUAAGUCAGAUGUGAAAUUCCAGGGCUUAACUCUGGAGGUGCAUCUGAAACUAUAAUUCUUGAGUGCUGGAGAGGAAAGCGGAAUUCCUAGUGUAGCGGCGAAAUGCGUAGAUAUUAGGAAGAACACCAGUGGCGAAGGCGGCUUUCUGGACAGUAACUGACGCUGAGGCGCGAAAGCGUGGGGAGCAAACAGGAUUAGAUACCCUGGUAGUCCACGCUGUAAACGAUGGAUACUAGGUGUAGGAGGUAUCGACCCCUUCUGUGCCGGAGUUAACACAAUAAGUAUCCCACCUGGGGAGUACGGCCGCAAGGCUGAAACUCCAAGGAAUUGACGGGGGCCC
rnacentral:rRNA from 1 species